CCCGAGGUGCGGUGCGCUGCGCGGCCCGGCCGAGGCCACUUCCUGCGGGCGGGCGCCGCGCGGACCCCUUCUGUAAGCGCGCGGUUUGUAAAUGGAACACCGAUUUUACACACGCUUCUUUACUUUCUUUCUAAUUAGAAGAAGAAAAAAGAAAAAAAUCGAAAGAGAGAAUGGGCGUGCAAGGGCGUCUAGCCACUACAAAGGAACCCCA